GUUGUAUGGUUAAGUGACGAAGCGUAUACGGUGGAUGCCUUGGCAGUUAGAGGCGAUGAAGGACGUGUAAGUCUGCGAAAAGCUGUGGUGAGCCGACAAAAUGCAUUUGAGCCACAGAUGUCCGAAUGGGGAAACCCACCUGUUUACAGGUAUCGUUAACUGAAUACAUAGGUUAACGAGGCAAACGAGGGGAACUGAAACAUCUAAGUACCCUUAGGAAAAGAAAUCAACCGAGAUUCCCCUAGUAGCGGCGAGCGAACGGGGAGCAGCCCUUAAGCUGUUUAGAAUUUAGUGGAAUCCUUUGGGAAGAGGAGCGAUACAAGGUGAUAGCCCUGUACACGACGGAUUCUUUACAGUGAAAUCGAGUAGGUCGGGACACGUGUUAUCUUGACUGAAUAUGGGGGGACCAUCCUCCAAGGCUAAAUACUCCUAACUGACCGAUAGUGAACCAGUACCGUGAGGGAAAGGCGAAAAGAACCCCUGUGAGGGGAGUGAAAUAGAACCUGAAACCGUAUACGUACAAGCAGUGGGAGCCACUUCGUGUGGUGACUGCGUACCUUUUGUAUAAUGGGUCAGCGACUUAUAUUUAGUAGCAAGGUUAAGUGAAUAACGGAGCCGUAGCGAAAGCGAGUGUUAACUGCGCGUUUAGUUGCUAGGUAUAGACCCGAAACCCGGUGAUCUAGCCAUG
rnacentral:rRNA from 1 species